GCCUACGGGACGAGCAGUAGGGAAUUUUCGUCAAUGGGCGCAAGCCUGAACGAGCAAUGCCGCGUGAACGAGGAAGGUCUUCGGAUCGUAAAGUUCUGUUGACGGGGAAAAAGAACGGAGAGAGGAAAUGGUCUCCGAUUGAUAUUACCCUUCGAGGAAGUCACGGCUAACUACGUGCCAGCAGCCGCGGUAAUACGUAGGUGGCGAGCGUUAUCCGGAAUGAUUGGGCGUAAAGGGUGCGUAGGCGGCCUGCUAAGUCUGGAGUGAAAGGUACCGGCUCAACCGGUACAGGCUCUGGAAACUGG
rnacentral:rRNA from 1 species